rnacentral:rRNA from 1 species
AGUGAACGCUGGCGGUAGGCCUAACACAUGCAAGUCGAACGGCAGCACAGUAAGAGCUUGCUCUUACGGGUGGCGAGUGGCGGACGGGUGAGGAAUACAUCGGAAUCUACUUUUUCGUGGGGGAUAACGUAGGGAAACUUACGCUAAUACCGCAUACGACCUACGGGUGAAAGCAGGGGAUCUUCGGACCUUGCGCGAUUGAAUGAGCCGAUGUCGGAUUAGCUAGUUGGCGGGGUAAAGGCCCACCAAGGCGACGAUCCGUAGCUGGUCUGAGAGGAUGAUCAGCCACACUGGAACUGAGACACGGUCCAGACUCCUACGGGAGGCAGCAGGGGGGAAUAUUGGACAAUGGGCGCAAGCCUGAUCCAGCCAUACCGCGUGGGUGAAGAAGGCCUUCGGGUUGUAAAGCCCUUUUGUUGGGAAAGAAAAGCAGCAGGUUAAUACCCCGCUGUUCUGACGGUACCUAAAGAAUAAGCACCGGCUAACUUCGUG